GAGGGCUCAUUGGUUGAUAUGUGACUGAUUGAUUGCCAAUCACACGUUUGUGUUUGUGUACCAGACGUCACGAGGAGGACGCACAGCGGAGAUCAUGAAGGCCGAGUGGAGGUUGCGUUUUGCUCACACUCUCGCUCGGGCGCUGCAUUCAAAGCGUUUUGGCUGUUUGCUUUCCAAUUCGGAGAAGACCAGAGAGGGAAAAUGACACAAGAAGAAAGAAGUCUUCAAAUGACGUGAAAAGAUUUGCAAGUCAACAUGUUAUUAGCAAAAACGGUUCGAAAAUAUAUCUAUGGAAUGGUUCAAUUCAAAUGUUUGCAUGUAACAGAUAAAUACAUUCAAGUUGUACCCAAAAAGUAAGCUUCAAAAUCUCUUCAAAUGAAAUGCAAUUCAAAGUGAAACACAACUGAAGCGGACUUGGCCAGUCAUUCAUUGGUGCACCACAAGAGGGAGCCUGAGGGUCACACAUUGAGAACCACUGGUCUAGUGACGCACGACUCAACUCCAAACUCCUUGGCAAAAGGGAAGAAGUGAAAAGUUGAACAGGUGAAAUUAGAGUCUCCGCGUGUGGUAGGCAGGCAGGCUCCCUCUAGUGGUAUGCAAAAGAAUCACUGGAUUAAAGCUUCAAACUGCUUAAAUGGCUUCACCAUCCAGUGCAGUACAAUUUACUUGUACUUUAAGACGAAAGGCACAUCUGAGUGCGCUCAUAGAAUUUGACAAUUCCUCUUGCGCUUGAAGUGUCUUUGCUUGCGGCGGAAAGCCAAAGCCUUCUUGGCCGCCUCCCGGAACACGUCGUCCACGUUCUCCUGGCACUUUGCCGAGCACUCCAGGUAGAGCUCGGCGUUCAUCUGCUGCUGCGCGGCCAGGCCCUGCGUCCCAAGGCAAAGCACACCGGAUGAGCAGACGGCCCGCAGGUCAAUAAAUAAACCAAAGGGCUAAUUAAAUGAAGUAUCGUUUGCGAGGCCAUUUUCAAAUACGCACGCGUUUAAAUAGAAAGGAGCACUGGGUCGUCACCUGCGUGUAGGUGACGGGAGCCUGCUUGACGGCCUUGAGCCUCCUGCAGCAUUCUUUGUCCUUCCUGAGGUCCGUCUUGCAGCCAAUCAGGAUGAGCGGGACGCCCGGACAAAAGUGCUUCACCUCCGGGUGCCACUGAGCACAUGCGCACCUUUUGACUUUUUUGGCCGCGUUCCUACCUCGGCGCAAUUUGGAAUCUUCGAUAAAACUAAAAAGCAUUUUUCGCUGAGCGGAGCCCGAUUGAAUUUGUUUGAAUAUUCAUUGUGUCCCAGGGCCACAACUUGUCCCGGUACGUCGGUUCAAGGCCCCAGCGCACCUUUUUUCCGAGAAGGCGGCGGCAGUGGCGGCGGUGGCUUCCCAAUCUGCUUUUGGGCUCAAAGUCCAGCCACAGCGAAUGGUAAGUUAAUCAUAAGUCAAAGAAUGCGUGCAUGUGUGCCACUCCCAACUUGCAAUUCCCGUUUGAAGAGUAAACGCGAGGCGAGGCGAGGCGAGGCGCCUUUUACCUUGAUGGUCACGUUGUCAAAACUGGUAGGGUUGGUCACGUCGAAGCACACCAGAAUCACGUGGGCCUCCGUGUACGACAGCGGGCGCAGCCUGUCGUAGUCCUCCUGGCCUGCGAGCACAAACGUGACGGCUGAUGGCAGUCCGACUGGUGGCAAAGGCCAGGCCCGAGGGCCAGAUGUGGCCCGCUGUGUCAUCUUACAUGGGCCGCAAAAGCAAACUUUCAAACCAAAUUCCAACUUUGGAAUAACUGAUGAGAUUUUGCACCAUGUUUGAGCAAGUGUGCAACUGCAAAGCGGCCUGCGGUAAAAACCAGCUUGCCACCCACAGGCUCGGAAAGCGACAGACGUGCGAUGACACGCGGGCGAUGUUAGCGUACGCGCGACGUGCAAGCAAACCACAUCCUGGCUUCGGCUUCCUCUUGGCAACCAUGUCACUCUCUCUCGGCACGACCGUUUGCAACAGACGCGUCCGCUCACAUUGGAAAUAAAAUGUUCAAAGUAGUUGAUUUUGCGGUCACUGUAAUAAAACUUUUUGCAGAUAAUAGGAAGGGACUUGAACACCCAAAUCAAGCAAAACUCGACAAGUGGCAUUGUCAUGCUUGUCAUUCAUUGGCAGCCUGCGAUAUUCCUCAAGCAACUUUGUUCUUUUUGUUGACUACUUUUGCCUUACCUGCGGUGUCGUACAUGUUGAGCACCACUUCUUUUCCUCUAAGGACCACCGUGGUGGAGACUUUUUCAAACACCGUCGGGGCGUAUUUCUGGUGAAAAGGGGAGGACAGUGACUAUCAGCGUCUACAUCCGAUGAGCCAGCCAUGACGAGCCCGUCUGGUUAGAGCACGCACGCGGCAGAUUGUCAUGGUCUCACCUCUGGAAAGUAAUCUUUGGCAUACACCAUGAGAAGGGAGGUUUUCCCACAGCCGCCGUCUCCCACAAUGACCGUCUUGAGUUCCUCACCCUCCUUGCCGGUGCCGUUAGCGCCGCCGGCAUCCUUAUUUUGGGUCAUCCUCCUCGUCACUCACAGGACCAACUCUCCGUCAAGGCCGUCCGUGCAUGGCAAAGAAAGCCUGCGGAAAAAAAUCACACGGGCCGCUGUGGAUGUCGGAGCACUUUAGUCCGCUCGGCGUGGAGCUGCCGACAGAUGGGCCCUCACCUUUGGAGCCCGCGUGCCGGUGCUCAGCAUCCGAGCGCACCAACGGCCGGCACUGGAGCGGCCCACGCCACGCACUGCCGCGCCUACUUCCUUUUUUUCUGCAAUGUGUCAUUGCAUGGGCGGGAACUCCUUUUUGAGGCAGCUUACUUUCUGCCAUGCAAUCCGGAAGACCAUCUUCUUGGACGUCCAACCAUUCGGCUCCAUUUGAGCUAUUUGGGGACAUCAAAAUGGUGGCGUUUUGCCGUCUGGCCACCGGGCCGCAGCAAUCCACUCCUGUCUUUAUUCCAGUCGUUUAAUGAGCUAUUGUUUACUUUUAAAACUGCAAAAUGAUGUUUUUUAAUUCAUUCUUCUCCUCAAUAAAUCAUUUGUUUGUUGUAAA